UGCACGUGGAGGUGACAUGGUGCUGUAU
rnacentral:piRNA from 1 species